GCCAUCAGUGAGUGCCGAGCAGCUGACGGUGGACCUGGUAAUUACCUGUGAGAAGGUGGGCACCACCCAGCCCCUCUGACCACAGCAGCAAAGACCAGUGCCAUGUCUUGCCUGCCCAGUCCCUUGCUGUCAUGCAGACCCCCUCAUAGAAAGUGAGCGACAUAACCUCCUGACUGAGCUGGUCCAGGAGGUGGUGGUCCUGCAAUGCCUAUGAGCGAUGGGACAACAACCAAAUCCCUGGCCCACAGCUGCGCUACCUCACCUCCCACACAACAGAGGAGGACGUGCUA